rnacentral:rRNA from 1 species
AGUUUGAUCCUGGCUCAGAAUGAAACCUGGCGGUGUGCCUAACACAUGCAAGUCAAACGACAAUUUAUUUGGAGUGGCGGACGGGUGAGUAACACGUAAGAACCUACCUUUAGGAGGGGGAUACCAUCCCGGGAAACUGGUGCUAAUACCCCAUAUGCUGAGAAGUGAAAUGGUAUUUAACCGCCUAGAGAGGGGCUUGCGGCUGAUUAGCUAGUUGGUGGGGUAAUGGCCUCCCAAGGCGACGAUCAGUAGCUGGUUUGAGAGGAUGAUCAGCCACACUGGGACUGAGACACGGCCCAGACUCCUACGGGAGGCAGCAGUGAGGAAUUUUCCGCAAUGGGCGAAAGCCUGACGGAGCAAUACCGCGUGGAGGAAAAAGAAGACCUGUGGGUUGUAAACUCCUUUUCUCAGAGAAGAAUACUGACGGUAUCUGAGGAAUAAGCACCGGCUAACUAUGUGCCAGCAGCCGCGGUAAUACAUGGGGUGCGAGGUUUAUUCGGAAUGAUUGGGCGUAAAGCGUUCGUAGGUGGUUUCACGAAGUCCACUGUCAAAGAUCAGGGCUUAACCUUGGGCAGGCAGUGGAAACUCGGAAACUCGAGUCA